rnacentral:hammerhead_ribozyme from 1 species
GCGCUGCUGAUGAGUCCCACAAUAGGACGAAACGGCCGUCCAGUGC